UGCCUACUGAGCUGAUUAUCAG
rnacentral:miRNA from 1 species